rnacentral:tRNA from 1 species
ACAUUGGUGGUUCAGUAUUAGAACUCUUGCCUUCUACGCAAGUGACCCAGGUUCAAUUCCUAGUCAGUGUA